rnacentral:rRNA from 1 species
CAGGCCUAACACAUGCAAGUCGAGCGGACCAUUCCUUCGGGGAUGGUUAGCGGCGGACGGGUGAGUAACACGUAGGCAACCUGCCUGUAAGAUCGGGAUAACUACCGGAAACGGUAGCUAAGACCGGAUAGCUGGUUUCCCCGCAUGGGGGGAUCAUGAAACACGGGGCAACCUGUGGCUUACGGAUGGGCCUGCGGCGCAUUAGCUAGUUGGUGGGGUAACGGCCCACCAAGGCGACGAUGCGUAGCCGACCUGAGAGGGUGAUCGGCCACACUGGGACUGAGACACGGCCCAGACUCCUACGGGAGGCAGCAGUAGGGAAUCUUCCGCAAUGGGCGCAAGCCUGACGGAGCAACGCCGCGUGAGUGAUGAAGGUUUUCGGAUCGUAAAGCUCUGUUGCCAAGGAAGAACGCCUCGGAGAGUAACUGCUCUGAGGGUGACGGUACUUGAGAAGAAAGCCCCGGCUAACUACGUGCCAGCAGCCGCGGUAAUACGUAGGGGGCAAGCGUUGUCCGGAAUUAUUGGGCGUAAAGCGCGCGCAGGCGGUCUUUUAAGUUUGGUGUUUAAGCCCGGGGCUCAACCCCGGUUCGCACUGAAAACUGGGAGACUUGAGUGCAGGAGAGGAAAGCGGAAUUCCACGUGUAGCGGUGAAAUGCGUAGAGAUGUGGAGGAACACCAGUGGCGAAGGCGGCUUUCUGGACUGUAACUGACGCUGAGGCGCGAAAGCGUGGGGAGCAAACAGGAUUAGAU